UCCUCUGUAGUUCAGUCGGUAGAGCGGCGGACUGUUAAUCCGUAUGUCACUGGUUCGAGUCCAGUCAGAGGAGCCA
rnacentral:tRNA from 21 species